CCUUACCUACCUUUGACAUGUACGGAACUCGCCAGAGAUGGCUUGGUGCUCGAAAGAGAACCGUAACACAGGUGCUGCAUGGCUGUCGUCAGCUCGUGUCGUGAGAUGUUGGGUUAAGUCCCGCAACGAGCGCAACCCUUGUCAUUAGAUGCUACAUUUGGUUGGGCACUCUAAUGAGACUGCCGGUGACAAACCGGAGGAAGGUGGGGAUGACGUCAAGUCCUCAUGGCCCUUAUAGGUAGGGCUACACACGUCAUACAAUGGAUGGUACAGAGGGUCGCCAACCCGCGAGGAGGAGCUAAUCCCAUAAAACCAUUCGUAGUCCGGAUCGCAGUCUGCAACUCGACUGCGUGAAGUCGGAAUCGCUAGUAAUCGCGGAUCAGAAUGUCGCGGUGAAUACGUUCCCGGGUCUUGUACACACCGCCCGUCACACCAUGGGAGCGGUUUCUGCCAGAAGUAGUUAGCCUAACCGCAAGGAGGGCGAUUACCACGGCAGGGUUCGUGAC
rnacentral:rRNA from 1 species